CCCCUCUCCGGAUCACAACUGGAGAGUUUCCACUACUCUACCAGUCUCGGUGAUGGGAGGGAGAGUCAAGAGGAGGCAUACUCAUUCCAUUCCUAGUUUGGGUAGUGGCUAGCUAGUGGAAGACAAUCUGUUACAAGU